rnacentral:rRNA from 1 species
UACGUAGGGUGCAAGCGUUAUCCGGAAUUAUUGGGCGUAAAGAGCUCGUAGGCGGUUUGUCGCGUCUGCUGUGAAAACUGGAGGCUCAACCUCCAGCCUGCAGUGGGUACGGGCAAACUAGAGUGCGGUAGGGGAGAUUGGAAUUCCUGGUGUAGCGGUGGAAUGCGCAGAUAUGCGGAGGAACACCGAUGGCGAAGGCAACCUCCGGUCGGUCGCACUGACGCUCAUGCACGAAAGCGUGGGGAGCAAACAGG